rnacentral:rRNA from 1 species
CAAUAGCGUAUAUUAAAGUUGUUGCAGUUAAAAAGCUCGUAGUUGGAUUUCUGGUGGGAGCGAUCGGUCUGGCGCUUAGCGCGAGUACUUGCAUCGUCUCCGGCCAUCCUUGGGGAGAGUCUGUCUGGCAUUAGGUUGUCGGGCAGAGGAUCCUCAUCGUUUACUGUGAAAAAAUUAGAGUGUGCAAAGCAGGCUUAUGCCGUUGAAUAUAUUAGCAUGGAAUAAUAAGAUAGGACUUUGGUACUAUUUUGUUGGUUUGCGCACCAAAGUAAUGAUUAAUAGGGACAGUUGGGGGUAUUCGUAUUCCGUUGUCAGAGGUGAAAUUCUUGGAUUUACGGAAGACGAACUACUGCGAAAGCAUUUACCAAGGAUGUUUUCAUUAA